GGGUUUAGGGUAAUAUGAUUUUCACAAAGGUCACCAUGUUAAUUUCCAGGAUUGAUUUGGACGGUUGGGUUGGUUGUAGACAUCCCCUUUUCUCCCUUACUGAUCCAUGUGUGUUCCACCAAAGCCACAUUCUCUCUCAGAGAGGACCACUUUUCCAGAUAAAGGAGAGCAAGUCUUUAAUUUCAUAGUGGUUAGGAAGAACUAACAUUCUAAAGAACAAUUUGACUUGGAAUUUUUAUUA
rnacentral:sRNA from 1 species